rnacentral:rRNA from 1 species
AUUGAACGCUGGCGGCAUGCCUUACACAUGCAAGUCGAACGGCAGCACGGGAGCAAUCCUGGUGGCGAGUGGCGAACGGGUGAGUAAUGUAUCCGAACGUGCCCAGCCGUGGGGGAUAACGCAGCGAAAGCUGUGCUAAUACCGCAUACGAACUAUGGAUGAAAGCGGGGGAUCGCAAGGCCUCGCGCGUUUGGAGCGGCCGGUGUCAGAUUAGGUCGUUGGUGGGGUAAAGGCCCACCAAGCCUGCGAUCUGUAGCUGGUCUGAGAGGACGAUCAGCACAACUGGGACGGAGACACGGCCCAGACUCCUACGGGAGGCAGCAGUGGGGAAUUUUGGACAAUGGGCGCAAGCCUGAUCCAGCAAUGCCGCGUGCAGGAUGAAGGCCUUCGGGUUGUAAACUGCUUUUGUACGAGACGAAAAGACUCGCUCUAAUACAGUGGGUACAUGACGGUAUCGUAAGAAUAAGCACCGGCUAACUACGUGCCAGCAGCCGCGGUAACAC